AAAGAACCAACAGGAUUGCCUCAUUAACGGAGAGUGAAGCGGCAACAGCCCAAAUUUGAAACCUGGCUCUAGGGCCCGAGUUGUAAUUUGGAGAGGUCCCCACGGCGAAGCGCCUGCCGAGUCCCUGGAACGGGGCGCCGUAUAGGGUGAGAGCCCCGUGCGGCGGGACGCCCAGCCUAUGCGUGGGGCCUUCGAAGAGUCGAGUAGCUUGGGAAUGCUGCUCUAAACGGGAGGUAUAUUCCUUCUAAGGCUAAAUACCUGCCAAAGACCGAUAGCGCACAAGUAGAGUGAUCGAAAGAUGAAAAGCACUUUGGAAAGAGGGUUAAACAGUACGUGAAAUUGCUGAAAGGGAAGCGCCUGCGGGCAGACUCGUGCCCCGCGGAUCAUCCGACGGUCGUCCCGGGUGCACUCCGCGGGGCUCGGGCCAUCGACGGCUCUCCCGGGGGGACAAAAGCCGGGGGAACGUAGCUCCCCUCACGGGGAGUGUUAUAGCCCCCGGUCCAAUGCCUCCAGGGGGGCCGAGGACCGCGCCAAGGACGCUGGCGUAAUGGCUCGCCGGGACCCGUCUUGAAACACGGACCAAGGAGUCGAACGUCCGUGCGAGUUCUAGGGUGCAAAACCCCUGCGCGCAGUGAAAGCAAACGCUGGCGGGAACUUUGGGGCACCGCCGACCGGUCCCGAAGUCUUCUGACUGACCUGAUUUGGAACGCGGUGACCCGAAAGAUUGUGAACUAUGCCUGCGUAGGGCGAAACCAGGGGAAACCCUUGUGGAAGCUCUCAGCGGUUCUGACGUGCAAAUCGAUCGUCCAACGUGGGCAUGGGGGCGAAAGACUAUCUAACCAUCUA
rnacentral:rRNA from 1 species